CUUUCUUUGCUGGCGACCGGCGCACGGGUGAGUAACACGUAUCCAACCUGCCCUUUACUCGGGGAUAGCCUUUCGAAAGAAAGAUUAAUACCCGAUAGUGUAAUGAUUCCGCAUGGUUUCAUUAUUAAAGGAUUCCGGUAAAGGAUGGGGAUGCGUUCCAUUAGGUUGUUGGUGAGGUAACGGCUCACCAAGCCUUCGAUGGAUAGGGGUUCUGAGAGGAAGGUCCCCCACAUUGGAACUGAGACACGGUCCAA
rnacentral:rRNA from 1 species